rnacentral:lncRNA from 1 species
UGAUUCAAUUGGCAUUGACAUAAUAGGAAUAUUUCGUCUAUUAAGGAGGAUUCCCCGAAUACCUGAAAUAGAGAUAAUCAUAGAAAAUGUGAAAUAUUUGAUAGGAUCCAUUUCGGGAACGUAGAAUGGUUGAGAAAUUCAAAUGUGAAACAAUACGUCAGCUCUUCUACUUUCAAUAUCCUUCAAUUAUGGAUAUGGAAGAAAUCUUCUUUUUUAUACUCAUGUUUCCCCUCCCAUCGCGCUCCGCCGAUUGUUGUGCUCGUGUCAACCAAGCCUAAUUGCUUAGGAGAACCGGCCUUAUUUAGUAAAGUAAAAGCCUUUUCUUGCUUUCCUAUCUCAAGUUAUUUUCCGUGAAUCCACCUAUGAUGAAGCUUGCACCAGCUUUGGAUUAAAGAAGAUCAGUUAUAGAUUCGAAGAAAGGAGUGAGAGACCUUCUGGCGCCCCGGUUCCUUCUUUCCCCAACUCCUUCUUCUCGGAAGAAAAAUAGUGGAUUAGCAGACGAUUCGAGAAUAGAGCAGUGGCCCUAUGUUGAGUAAGGGGUGAGAAGGUGCUCCUGCUGCUAAGUUGGAAUUAGGGAAGUUAAAGUAGGACGUCUGGUGUGACGUCGUCCCGAGGUAGAAAUCUCUAGACAUUCCCCCAGGCGUAAAAAUGGUUAUUGACAAAACUUAACGAUGUUGCAGGGAAAAUAUAAGAAUAGAAGAAGUGCCUUGCCUCCAACAAUUCAGCAUUUGAACUCGUUGGAAAUGGAGAUCGUCCAAUAUUAUGUUCCAGCACUGCCCCUGAAUUAAUCAACCAAGUAGAAGUUGAAGUUCAGUUAGAAUCCAUAUAGUGACGUAGUUUUUUACUAUGAAGAGCCCCCUAUUGUUGAUAGAGAGCUUACCGCCCCGCCCUUUAUAGUCGCGACUAUUGUCUUUUCUCAUGGAGGAGCCCAUCGUACUUUCACUUUUUUCGCUAGCAUGAUGGAUAAAGAGCUGUGAGAAGACAGGAAGUCAGGGUUUCAAACCUAUUUCUCGAUUCACUCAAAGAGGUGAAUAGGGUCCCAAUAGAGAUAUGUAAAAAGUAGGUCCGAUUACGCGUAUUCCUAAUCCUAAAUGGAAUGUAACGAUGUAGGGAUCCAUAUGUAAACAUAGUAUCUAUUUAGAUAGGCCCGAAUGGCCCCUUCUCAUAAUGAGAAUGUAUAUAACCCUAUUACGGCCUGGUCCGGUAAUUUUUGAAGGGGUAUCAUUUUUCUCAAAUAUCAAUAAAACAUGACAACUACCUUAAAUACUUACAAAUUUCCUUAUUACACAAAAACACAAAACAAUAUGACACAAAUUAUCCUAGACAUACUGGUUCUACAACCAUACCGCAGCCAACAAAAAAAAAGCACGACAAUAAAAACCCACGAUGGCUAUGGUAUAUCCAAACCCCAAUUAAAAACUAUGCUCUAUCCUCAAUGCGUGUUAAUAAUACAAAAUAAAAGAAAGUAAGAACAGAUCUGGGAUGCACUAAGCAUCUGUGUCAUGAGCAUCCCUAAAUAGGGGCAUAUCAGUUGGCGGAGGUGAUGGUGGUGGCGGUACACUACUAGAAGAUGCCCCUGCUGCUAUCGUGUCAUGCCUCAGCCUCUCAAUGACUGUGGAGUCCAUCAAAUCAACCUGCUGCUAUGAUGUCAUACCUCAGUCUCUUAAUGACUGCAGAAUUCAUUAAAUCAUGUCUGACUUUUUUAACGGCCUGGUCAUAUGGCAUAUCAGGAUCCUGCAAGUCUUCUAUGUGACCUCUCUUGCUCCCAACUAUCGGUACCUUAUCAUCAUCCUCUGCGAAGAAAUCAAAAUAUUUGGGUGCACACAGAGGUGAUAUAUAGACCACUAGGGGUAUGACUAAAGGAGUAGCUGCUGCAUGGUUUUCUGUAAGAAAACGUACCUCUGCUUGCAAUAUAUCCAUCUCUUCCCUUAUCUGGGCUAGAUCCAGUGCCUCUAUCUCUGUAAAUUAAGUUGUAACCCAUAUCUCAAACUCAUCAAGAUGUGUAAGUCAGUACAUAGCUCACUCAAGGUAGCUUGUGUAAGUCAUCACGUAGCUCACUUAAGCUAGCUCUUUAUGUGGCCUCCUAUCUAGCCUCUUUCAUAUCGAAUCUAGUCCAAACCCCUGAAUGUAUCUGCUCAUAUAGGGUAGUCAUCUUAAUCUCAAUAACCCAAAAUAGACCAUCAAUGGCCCUUUGACAGUCCACUAAAAUCUACAAGAACCCUCGAGAUAUAGUAAUUAUAUUUGUAGCAAAAGCUGUAGUGGAUGGGCGAGUAGGCUCUAAAAAUACAAAAACUGACUCUGAGGUCAAAUCCAGGGGUCCCUUCACCCUGAGUACUCAUAUAUAGGGCCUCUCUCUCCUUCCCUAUCUCUAUAUCAAUUUUAACUCCUAUAUCACCUCCAUGUGCAUCACCAGGCUCUAUGGAAACUAAUGGGCCCUGAGUAUGGGCCUGAGGUACUGCGACAGGCUUUCUAGAUUUCCUGGGAAGGCUUGGACAUGCCAGAUCCUUCAUACUCUUUGUUUGUGCAGUAGUCAUCAUAAGUACCCUCUUAUCUACUCCUGGUAUCUUAGAUACACUGGACUCAUCAUAUAGUCUUUGAAUCAUGUAAGGGAAUGAUAGAUUUGUCAUCUUCCCAGAUGCUCUAUCGUAGAUCUCAUUCCAGAGGAUGGCUACAAAAUUACUAGAAUAUCCGACCAUCAUACUAGAAACCAAGGCUGCCUCCUCCCAAGUCAACGUAUUAUCUGAGGAAGUGGGGAAUAGUUGGUAUCAGAUGAAAAACUACCAAAACUUAGCAUCAAAGGUCAAUGAAACCUUCUUGAUCAAAUGAUGACCCUCGAUCCAUGGGGUCGCAUCAUCCAAAGGUGAAAUAUAGUUGGCUAUCCACCUAGCCAUCUCAACUCUUUCUUGUUUAUGCUCUGUCUCCUGCAUAAUGUGUGGAUUAUGUGUGACUCUCAGUCUGUAGGAACACUUAACUAUGGAUGUGGGAGUGAUAUAAUAUGGACCAAAAUAACUUGAUGUAAUGCCCCGGGAGUACACCCUGGGCGUCACAUGGUGCUUACAGUCCCGAGGGACCACAAGCUAACCCA